AUUGAACGCUGGCGGAAUGCUUUACACAUGCAAGUCGAACGGCAGCACGGGAGCUUGCUCCUGGUGGCGAGUGGCGAACGGGUGAGUAAUGCAUCGGAACGUACCUAUGAGUGGGGGAUAACUAUCCGAAAGGAUAGCUAAUACCGCAUACGCCCUGAGGGGGAAAGCGGGGGAUCGUAAGACCUCGCGCUGAUAGAGCGGCCGAUGUUCGAUUAGCUAGUUGGUGAGGUAAAGGCUCACCAAGGCGACGAUCGAUAGCUGGUCUGAGAGGAUGAUCAGCCACACUGGAACUGAGACACGGUCCAAACUCCUACGGGAGGCAGCAGUGGGGAAUAUUGGACAAUGGGCGAAAGCCUGAUCCAGCCAUGCCGCGUGUGUGAAGAAGGUCUUCGGAUCGUAAAGCACUUUAAGUUGGGAGGAAGGGCAGUAAGUUAAUACCUUGCUGUUUUGACGUUACCAACAGAAUAAGCACCGGCUAACUUCGUGCCAGCAGCCGCCGUAAUAC
rnacentral:rRNA from 1 species